ACCUAUCGCCAUAAAUUAACAAAACUUUGCCAGACUUAUCAAAACAAACAUCAUGUGGAGCUUUGAUUUUGUUAAACUCAUCUAACAGAGUUUUCCUUUGAUAUCCAUCUUCUGACAUAGCAUGCAAUGCACCAGACAGAUCACAUGCUAUUAUACAACCUUGGUUAUUAACGGCAACGGCAACUAUCUUCUUCAUAUUUUCGUCUUUGUAGGAAAAUAUUUUUGUGCCAUCUAUCUGUAUUGCUACUACUUGGUCGGUAUCAGAUGUAUAAAGUAAACGUUUGUUUUUUAUAUCAGUCGCAAGUCCAUUAAAUUUAUUCUCACAGUGUGUAUGUGUGUCAAAACACUUUUGUAAGCCUAUUUCUUUGUUUUCAUUAUUUAUCCUUUGCAAGCUUUUCCCAACGAUAAUAUGCAUGAAUCCAUUAAAGAUGCAAAGCCCACCAGUAAGCGCCUGCCUGCUGCUAUUUCUAAUUUCCUGACGUAAUACAAAUCUAUUUUGUUUUAUCUUGCAAGUAUAUAUGUAUGCAUCAUAACACAAAACAUAAAUUGUAAGGUUUUCGAUGUCGCAAGUCAGUCUUUUUAUCCCUCCAUUGAAAGUAGUUUUCGUUAUACAUGUGCUAGUCACACAACCAACCGCAUUUAACGCCCCAUGUAGACUGCCAACCAAGAUCAUCGAGUGCAUCAUACAUACAGUAUUAACAUCAAACUCAAAUGACAGAGUUUUUUUAUGUCUCAAUUUUAUGUUUGUUAUUGUGCCGGUAUCCAAUGGAUUAAAAUUCACGAAUUCAUUCAGGUCAAUUGGUACAUUACAUAUCACUUCGGUUUGCUUGAAACUGACUGCUUUUCAGUGAAAUAUUUUAUUGACAGCAAAUCUCGCUUCCACGGCAGUUUUUACAUUUAAAAUAUUGCUAGUUUCAACGAUUUUAGACUUUAAUUAAGGUUUCGAUUUUUUCAAAUGAAUAAACAUUUGAUUCAAGGUACCAUUAUCUCGAACAGACUCUGUAGUCUUCGUCAAUAAAACAACACGGCUCAGUAGAUUUUCUGUAGUUUUUAUCUUCGCUUCGAAAACAGUUUGUUGUGCAUCACGUGACAUAUGUAGUUCCUUUAAAAAUGAAGCCAGUAGAAUAUCCACACUGCCUUUUUUGAAGCAGCGGCUGCUUUAGCAGCCAACUCGAUCGCUUGAAAAGAAUUAUCGAGUUUUUCAUAAUUGCUUAUCUUUUCUUCAAUAAGUUCUUUAAUUUUAGCUUUUACUUCUUUCCAUUCAUAUUAUAAAAAAUCUAUUCCAUCCGUGUUAAGAUUUGUCAGUUCUUCAAUAGCCUGGAUAUUUUCGAUUUUUCUAUGCUGUAUAGUUAAGCAAAGCAAACAGCAAAGUUCCUGAUGAUCAAAACAGAAGGCUUCCAAUAUUUUUGAAUUAUGAAUUGAACAUUUAUCGGAUAUUGGACUAAAAUCAGGCUCGCCUCCACUAGCACAGUUAUUUAUUUCUUCGAUAUGUACAACCUUAUGGUCUGCAGAAAUCUUCAUAAGGUUGUGACGUCGCAAGCAUUCGUCACAAAACGCUUCACUGCAUUUCCGACACCAGUAUGAUGCCACAUGUUGAUUGUUUUGUCUUUUACACAGAUGACACUCUUGUUUCGUAUUUUCU
rnacentral:lncRNA from 1 species